AGCAGCCGCCACGGUAAUACGUAGGUGGCAAGCGUUGUCCGGAAUUAUUGGGCGUAAAGGGCUCGCAGGCGGUUUCUUAAGUCUGAUGUGAAAGCCCCCGGCUCAACCGGGGAGGGUCAUUGGAAACUGGGAAACUUGAGUGCAGAAGAGGAGAGUGGAAUUCCACGUGUAGCGGUGAAAUGCGUAGAGAUGUGGAGGAACACCAGUGGCGAAGGCGACUCCCUGGUCUGUAACUGACGCUGAGGAGCGAAAGCGUGGGGAGCGAACAGGAUUAGAUACCCCGGUAGUCCCUGUCUCUUAUAC
rnacentral:rRNA from 1 species